CAGGUGGGGACAUCAGAACGGUCAAAUGAAUCAUCUAAGGCUCAUAAAUAACAGCUGUUAGAGAUGAAAAAGAUUUUGUUGGCUUGCCAAGUCCCUCCUCCCAACCUCUCUGAGUCACAGGGCAAGGCAGUGUCCCAAGGCAGAAGACACAUAAUGGAUUAAACUGAUCCUACACUUGAUCAUAGCCAAAAGGAGCAGGAAGGGAAUGCAGAGGACAUCCUAAUUAAAAAGGAAAACGGAUCAUCAAACAAGUAGCUUAUUAUGAAAUAAAUGUAAAGGACCCUGGGGGGAGAAACACCCGAAUAUAAUCUUCAGACAGGGUAAGAUGUGUCUGUGUCUUUUAAUAUUGAAAACACCUGGAUAUUUCAGAUCCAACAGAAGGCAGAGAUGUAAGGUGAAAGUGACCUUGUAAUAAGGAAGAAUUCUCAUAUGGAGGAAAGAUGCCUGAAUGAGCAGACUAACUGGUUACUGAAAUUGGAAAACCCUUCCAAUCAGUUUGAAGCAAAGAGCUCAUACAUUUGUACAAUGACUGAAAUGACAUUGAUGGCCAGUUGCUCUAAGUCUGCUCAUACAUACAUCCAGGUUGUCAGGGAGCUAACUUUAUUUAAGAUAGUUAUUGGUGAGAAAGAAGAAGGAAGAUUGUGGUCUGUGUAUAUACAAAUCUUGUUUUUAUAAUCUUUUUUUCAUUCAUUCAUUGUUUAUUUUUAUCCAUUUUAUAUUUUCUAUUGUUAUAUACUUAAAAAAAUUUUUUUUGGUCCUUUUUCUAAGUGAAGAGCCCUGUUUUAGUUCCAUCCUUCCAUCAAUAACGGGUAGGUAAAUGCUGCAAAAUAAACACACAUUCUUCUGCCUUUUUGUAGAGCAUGAGUAAUAUUUCAGCCAUUGAUUUGGUGAAGUGCGAGACUUUUCCCAAGGCAAUAUAUUUCUUUGAGAACAUUAGGAGACAUUCUCAACCUAAAUCUUUGUUUGUAGUUUACUAACUGCCUACGGUAAAUUGUUUUCCUAGACAAUAUA